rnacentral:pre_miRNA from 10 species
AAUUUUAAACUCAGCAAGAUAACCUGAAAUAGGGGCGUUGGUGGUCUCUAAAUUCCAUAAGUGCUUCUCUUUGGGGUUGUCUUGAUCGGGUCA